UGUUCAGUUCCAUUUUUGAAACUCUCAGGAAACAAUAGAUUUGAUUUUCAGCAGAUGUGCUGUCCAAAGGAAGAAAAUAGGAUCAGCAAAUUUUGGUUAGAGCAUCUUUGAUUCAGAUGAAAACUCCAGUGGCAGAAGGCAGAAAAGCUCCUCCUGGAAGAGUAUCUGUAGAAAAAUACCUUAUCCUGCUUGAUAACCAGAAAAAAAAAGAUCACUAGCAUAUUGCAUUCGGGACUUGAGGCAUUUCCAAGGUGGAUGCUGAAGGCAGAGCAUUAGACUGAAUGGAGACAAACUGAAACUGAGCAGAACUAUGGACACAUUGAACACUUUUUGACUUCUGAGAAGUGGAGAACCGUGUGGAAGUGUCCCAGACACAAAAGAUUGAAGUGGUUUGGUUUGGUUGGAAGACUAAACUAGCUUGCCUGAGGGAAAGCUGAGGAAACCAGAACAUUUCCCCCAAAAGAAGAAUCUCACAUCACAAAGGAUUGAAGAAGCAUACUCCAUUUGUCUGUGGCAAUAUUUUAAAGGAAGAGUAAACAAACUAAUUUCUGAUCUUUACAUCACUGUAAAUUGAAGCAGAAUUUUCUCCAGAAAUUAGUCUAUGAUGCCACAGAAAACCCCAAGUAUAAGCAGAUUAGAAAGAGUGGGAUUCUUCAUCCACU